UUCGGUUGAUCCCGCCGGACCCCACUGCUAUCGAGGUGGGACUAAGCCAUGCUAGUUGAGCGCACAGAACUAUGUCUGUGAGCGGCACACUGCUCAGUAACACGUAGCUAACCUACCCUUAGGACGUGGACAACCCCGAGAAAUUGGGGCUAAUCCGCGGUAGAUGUAAUGUCCUGGAAUGGUAUUACGUCCAAAGGUAUCCCAUACAUGUUUGGUAUACGCCUAAGGAUGGGGCUGCGGCCGAUCAGGCUGUUGGUGAGGUAAUGGCUCACCAAACCUUUGACCGGUACGGGCCAUGAGAGUGGUAGCCCGGAGAUGGACACUGAGACAAGGGUCCAGGCCCUACGGGGCGCAGCAGGCGCGAAACCUCCUCAAUGCACUUACGUGCGAAGGGGCUACCUCGAGUGCCACCUGAUGAAGGUGGCUUUUCCUAGGUCUAAAAAGCCUUGGGAAUAAGAGGGGGGCAAGACUGGUGUCAGCCGCCGCGGUAACACCAGCCCCUCGAGUGGUGGGGAUGAUUAUUGGGCCUAAAGCGUCCGUAGCCUGCCGUGUAAGUUUCCCGUUAAAUCCAGCGUCUUAAGCGUUGGACUGCGGGAAAUACUGCACGGCUAGAGAGUGGGAGAGGUCAGCGGUAUUCUGGGGGUAGGGGCGAAAUCCUUUGAUCCCCGGAGGACCACCAGUGGCGAGGGCUGCUGACUAGAACACGUCUGACGGUCAGGGACGAAAGCUGGGGUA
rnacentral:rRNA from 1 species